CGAGACCUGCCAGAGCAACGGCCUCUAGGGGGCCGACUCCGCUCCCCUGCCCUCGGCGGCACCUCAUGCUCCAACCCCUGUCUCCCCCCACCCCGACCCCCACCCCCGCAGCAGAGGCAGCCCAGGGGCCCGAUCCCUCCCACGUGAUUCAAGAGGGCCUUUUUCAAAGAAAACGGAAGCCACCUUUGGGAAGACGUCAAUGGCAAACGGAUAAUCAUUUUGUUUUUAUGACGGGACCGGCAGGCACAGAAAUCUCAAAUUUUUUCCUGUGGGCUCAAGAGCUCUUCAAAGUAAAGAGGAAACUAAUCUCUGAAGUUUUCUCUUAUAUAUCCUAUGGAAUGCGUAUUAAAAUCCUGAAUGCUAAAACUCCACUGGAAUUUAGUUACAGUUUCUGAAGUUCCCACAGAAGUCUGAGAUGGUGGCCAGUAAUUUCUCCUUGAAGCCUAACGCACCUUACCCAGUGACUAGAGAUAACUGUUGUGAACAGUUUAGUGUUGAAUCAAAGGACCUAGUGCUUCUUUCUUGAACAUGACAGAAAAAAAAAAAAAAUUCCAAAGAACAUAGCCCAAAGGAAAACAGACCGCAAAAUUUAAGGAGUCUCAGCUUGCUGGGUUAUGAGAUCCUUCUUUGGGGCGACCCACUUACGCCCUAGCCUUGACUUCUGCUAUCUGCGUUGGAAGAAAAGCCUAAGACAGGCCGGCUUCCCCGGAAGUAGAUGCUGACAACAAGAGUCCAGCACAAGCUGUUUACUUGAGAAGGAGCUGCGCGCGCAAGACACCUUGAGAAAGUGGUUUUGAGGAAGCGUUUCCACUGGCUCCUGCGUGGAAUCUUUCCCGCAGAGUUGCUAACAAACUGAACGUACGACUGACUGGGGUUAUGCAUCCUCUUUCUUCGUGCUCCUCACCUCCCGCCCCCCUCAUUUCUGCUGGAGAAUUGGAAAAGCGUGAAAUGCCCCCCAGAGUGAAGAACACAGCACAGGGGACUCUGGGUAAUCCACCCCUGCCCGCUGUAAGGACACGCUACCCAGUCCCGGAUCAUAGCCUUUUCUCUUUACAACUCCGCGAGGAAACUUACGGUCGGGAGGAAAACGACAAAAACAGAAAAACAAACUAGGAAGAAAUACACCAGAGCAAGUACGGGCUGGAAGGUGGUGGAAUUACGGAUAUUUUUCUCUUAUUCCAUAAUUGAAUGCGGUUCUAACUCUUUUACUUAAAUGUUUGUAGUAAGGCUAUUUUUCUACUUUUCUGUAUGCUUAAAUACUUCCAUAAUAAAAAUUGUAUUUUAAUUUCAAA